rnacentral:siRNA from 1 species
CAACGCUAUCUCGGGUAGAAGGC